GGAGAAAUACCCAAGUGGCUGAAGGGGUCAGUUUCGAAAACUGAUAGAAGUGAGAGCUUGCGAGGGUUCGAAUCCCUCUUUCUCCGCCA
rnacentral:tRNA from 1 species